UUAGGGUUGGGCUUGGAGCUAGGAUUUUUCUGAGUGCAAUGAACCAACUCCCGAGUCUCUAGGACGUUCCUAAAAAAUUUUGAUUUUUUCCCAUAGGAAUGCAUGGGUUAGGGUUAGGGUUAGGGUUGGAGCUAGGGUUAGGGUUAGGGUUAGGGUUGGAGUUAGGGUUAGUGUUGGAGCUAGGGUUAGGGUUGGGCUUGGAGCUAGGAUUUUUCUGAGUGCAAUGAACCAACUCCUGAGUCUCUAGGACGUUCCUAAAAAAAAUUUAUUUUUUCCCAUAGGAAUGCAUGGGUUAGGGUUAGGGUUAGGGUUGGAGCUGGGGUUAGGGUUAGGGUUGGAGUUAGGGUUAGGGUUAGGGUUAAGGUUGGAGCUAGGGUUAGGGUUAGGGUUAGGAUUAGGGUGGAGCAAGGGUUAGGGUUAGGGUUAGAGCUAGGGUUAGGGUUGGGGCUAGGGUUAGGGUUAGGGUUAAGGUUGGAGCUAGGGUUAGGGUUAAGGUUAGGGUUGGAGCUAGGGUUAGGGUUAGGGUUAGGGUUGGAGCAAGGGUUAGGGUUAGGGUAAGGGUUGGAGUUAGGGUUAGGGUUAGGGUUAAGGUUGGAGCUAGGGUUACAGUUAGGGUUAGGGUUAGGGUGGAGCUAGGGUUAGGGUUAGGGUUAAGGUUGGAGUUAGGGUUAGUGUUGGAGCUAGGGUUAGGGUUGGGCUUGGAGCUAGGAUUUUUCUGAGUGCAAUGAACCAACUCCCGAGUCUCUAGGACGUUCCUAAAAAAAUUUGAUUUUUUCCCAUAGGAAUGCAUGGGUUAGGGUUAGGGUUAGGGUUGGAGCUAGGGUUAGGGUUAGGGUUAGGGUUGGAGUUAGGGUUAGUGUUGGAGCUAGGGUUAGGGUUGGGCUUGGAGCUAGGAUUUUUCUGAGUGCAAUGAACCAACUCCUGAGUCUCUAGGACGUUCCUAAAAAAAUUUGAUUUUUCCCCAUAGGAAUGCAUGGGUUAGGGUUAGGGUUAGGGUUGGAGCUGGGGUUAGGGUUAGGGUUGGAGUUAGGGUUAGGGUUAGGGUUAAGGUUGGAGCUAGGGUUAGGGUUAGGGUUAGGAUUAGGGUGGAGCUAGGGUUAGGGUUAGGGUUAGAGCUAGGGUUAGGGUUGGGGCUAGGGUUAGGGUUAGGGUUAGGGUUAAGGUUGGAGCUAGGGUUAGGGUUAAGGUUAGGGUUGGAGCUAGGGUUAGGGUUAGGGUUAGGGUU
rnacentral:lncRNA from 1 species